rnacentral:lncRNA from 10 species
AUCCAACAAAUAAACAAACAAAAAACUUUCCCUGAGACAAACCACAGAACUUUAUUUUGGGAAAAGAAAACAUUUUUUUGUUGGUCAAACUAUCAGCUCCUAUGAAAUACUCUUAGAGAUGUUUAUCCUGAGCUAGUUUUUUUUGUGGGGAGGUGCUGUUUACAUGCUAUGUUAAAAAUAACACGCAAAAAUUCACGAGACAUUGAUGAUGAUGAUGGUUAUACAAAUAACGAGAAUAAUGAUAUUGGCAUACAUCAUGUGAGUGGAAAAAAAAAGUUGAUGGUGGUGAUGACAAUACGAUCGAAACUGCUUUUGCUCCGUGGAAAGCCCUUUGAGAUGGGGACCUGGCUGUGCAGUUUGCGGUGUAUUUGCCUAAAACGCCAUCUGGCUGCUACGUAGAGGAAGAACACUGUUUGCUUUUCUGGCCUUUGUUUUCAUAAUUCUUCAAUUUCUCUUUAUGCUCCUAAAAAUUCUACAAAUAAUUAGCCCGGAAUGGUGGCACAAACCUGUGGCCCCACCUACUCGGGGGGCUGAGGCGGGAGGAUCGCUUGAGCCUGGGAAGUGCAGUGGCGUGAUCAUAGCUCACUGCAGCCUCCACUUCCCAGGCUGAAGCGAUCCUCCCUGUGUCCUCACAUGGUCAUCCCUCUGUGUGUGGCUGUAUCCUUUUAUUUUCUUGAAGACAGGGUCUCGCUCUGGCCCAGCAAAGAGUGCAGUGGUGCGAUCAUAGCUCACUGCAUCCUGGACCUCCUGGGCUCAAGCGAUCCUCCUACCUCAGCCUCCUGAGUGGCUGGGACCACAGGCGUACACCACUACACCUAGCUAAUAUAUAUAUGUUUUCUAGAUACAGAGUCUCCUUAUGUUGCCCAGGCUGGUCUCAAAUUCCUGGCCUCAAGCAAUCCUCCCGUCUCAGUCUCCCAAGUAGUCGGGUCUACCAGCACGCACCACCAUGCCCAGGUAAUUUUAAAACUUUUUGCGGCUGGGUGCGGUGGCUCAUGCCUGUAAUCCCAGAACUUUGGGAGGCCGAGGCAGGCAGAUCACUGAGGUCAGGAGUUAAAGACCAGCCUGGCCAACAUGGUGAAACCCCGUCUCUGCUAUAUAUACAAAAAUUAACCAGGCGUGGUAGAGGGCGCCUGUAGUCCCAGGUACUCGGGAGGCUGAGGCAGGAGAAU